UACAGAGGUCCCAAGCGUUGUUCGGAUUCACUGGGCGUAAAGGGUGCGUAGGUGGUGGGGUAAGUCUGAUGUGAAAUCUCCGAGCUCAACUCGGAAAAUGCAUUGGAUACUACUUUGCUAGAGGAUUGGAGGGGAGACUGGAAUUCUUGGUGUAGCAGUGAAAUGCGUAGAUAUCAAGAGGAACACCAGUGGCGAAAGCGAGUCUCUGGACAAUUCCUGACACUGAGGCACGAAAGCUAGGGGAGCAAACAGG
rnacentral:rRNA from 1 species